UAGGGAAUAUUGGUCAAUGGAUGCAAGUCUGAACCAGCCAUGCCGCGUGCAGGAAGACGGCCUUCUGGGUUGUAAACUGCUUUUGUCAGGGGAUAAAAUUUCCUUGCGAGGAAAAUUGAAGGUACCUGGCGAAUAAGCCACGGCUAACUACGUGCCAGCAGCCGCGGUAAUACGUAGGUGGCAAGCGUUGUCCGGAUUUAUUGGGUUUAAAGGGUGCGUAGGCGGCCUAUUAAGUCAGUAGUGAAAUAUCACAGCUCAACUGUGAGGGUGCUAUUGAUACUGAUGGGCUUGAGUACAGAUGAGGUAGGCGGAAUUGACGGUGUAGCGGUGAAAUGCAUAGAUAUCGUCAAGAACACCGAUAGCGAAGGCAGCUUACUAAGUUGUAACUGACGCUGAUGCACGAAAGUGUGGGGAUCAA
rnacentral:rRNA from 1 species